GCGCACGUGGCGGAAUUGGUAGACGCGCUAGCUUGAGGGGCUAGUAACCAUUAGGUUGUGGAAGUUCGAGUCUUCUCGUGCGCACAA
rnacentral:tRNA from 1 species